rnacentral:rRNA from 1 species
GACGAACGCUGGCGGCGUGCUUAACACAUGCAAGUCGAACGGAAAGGCCCCUUUGGGGGUCCUCGAGUGGCGAACGGGUGCGUAACACGUACGUAACCUGCCCUUGACUUCGGGAUAACUUCAGGAACCUGGGGCUAAUACCGGUUAGGAAUCCUUUCUGCAUGGUGGGGGUUGGAAAGCUUCGGCGGUUUUGGGUGGACUCGCGGCUUAUCAGCUUGCUGGUGUGGUAGUGGCUUACCAAGGCUUUUACGGGUAGCCGGACUGAGUGGGCGACCGGCCACAUUGAGACUGAGGGAAGGCCGAGAUACCGACGGGAGGGAGAAGGGGGGAAGACUGAACAAGGGGCGGAAGGCGGAUGCAGAAAGGCCGCGUGCGGGAUGACGGCCUUCGGGGUGUAAAACGCAUGCAGCAGGGGCGAAGCUUGUGGUGACGGUACCUGCAGAAGAAGCACCGGCUAACUACGUG